UGAAUGCGGGAUAAAACUGGCAGAUUUGUGUUGGAAUUUUCCCAUAUCCUCAUACUAACCUAAUUAUAAAAGCAUAGGGUUCCCGUUCAUUCUCAAUACUCUCAUGCGGUGCCUCUUCCAUUUUCUCUCAACUGUCUCGCAGCCGAUCUUCCUAACCUCCCAUCUUCCCCAUGGCUACCAAAGAAAACUUAUUCUCUUGCUCUGUGAAAUGCGUAAAAUAAAACAUGAUUUCAUCCUCUUUGAAAGCACUUAAAAAAAAAAACCCUUCAAAACAUUAUUUCAUCCUCUUUGAAAGCACCUAAAGAAAAGCCCUUCUCUUCCACGAGUCCAUUCGAAAAUAUGAGGUUCAAAGCCCUCUUCGUUGCGAAGGUUUUAAUACCUGCUGAAACACCAUAUGAGACACGCUCCGUGAGCUUUAGACCUCGUGAGCUGGAUUAAUUGAGAUUCUAUACUUGACGACAUGGAUGGAAUAUUUUUUAUUUAUGAUGACAAAACAUCAAUAGAUGGGGAUUAAGUUAAUUUGCAUAUUACACAUCGCACCUCGAGAAUUACUAGAGCAUCCAAGAACAGGGGUUAAUUUGCAGAAUUUGAUUUUGAUACUGACAACCUAAUUAUGGUAUUUUGAGCUCUGAGGUUAAUUAUGUUAUUAUUUUGCUAGAAUAAAGUAAGAAAGGCCAAGAAUUUCUUUAUUUGUAGGAAUGGCUAUUGACAAAAGGGAUGGAGAGAAUGAUAAUAUAUUUUACCUAA